AAAAUUUGCCAGGGGUGUUCUCUUGAACUGAGAGCUCGUUAGGGCAACCCUCUGAACCUGAUCUGGGUAAUGCCAGCGAAGGGAUGGCACAUAAUAAUGCAC
rnacentral:ncRNA from 1 species